GACAGAGGGUGCAAACGUUGCUCGGAAUUACUGGGCGUAAAGCGCGUGUAGGUGGAUUGGUGUGUCAGAUGUGAAAGCCCUGGGCUCAACCCAGGAACUGCACCUGAAACUACCAGUCUUGAGUGGUGGAGAGGGAAGUGGAAUUCCUGGUGUAGAGGUGAAAUUCGUAGAUAUCAGGAGGAACACCGGUGGCGAAGGCGGCGACCUGGGUUGAUACUGACGCUGAGGCGCGAAAGCGUGGGGGAGCAAACAGG
rnacentral:rRNA from 1 species